UCCAUCCUCAUAUUACCUGUCACACUUUCCUCUUGGCUGAAAGUAAAAAAAAAAAGAAAAAAAAGAGGGAAUUUCUUUUGACAGAUCAUCAUCACAAUCUCAUAUUAGGAACUGCAUUCCACCUUUAACAACAUGCUUUGAAGCUUUGAAAAGGGCCACAGAACUAGUUGCCUUUUCUGUCUAGUAACAAUAUCCCCUGUUAACAUUCUCCACUUAUUUGACCUAGAAGCUUUCGAGCCCAAAGGUAGGAAGACCAAUUAUUCUGAUUAAAUGACCAUGGGUCUCAUUCUCUUCGUAAAAAUGCUCUCAGGGGAGUUAACUCUAGAAUAAGGAGUAAAAUAUCCCUUGGGUUUUUUUCUUAUUUUCAAACUUCAGGAUUUCCUAAUAAGUAAGAUAUUUUCUCUGUCCUUCCUCUCCUAACUUCAAAAUAUAUUGAAUAUCAGUAAAGCAGGGCUGCGUUGAUUUUUUCACUGGCUAAUAAUUUUAGAUAGCCCCAAAAGUUGGAAUUUAGUACAUAUACACUAGACAAGGAAAUUAAUGGAUAGCCAUGAACGCAUAAAGCAGCAAACACCACCACAAAAGACGAUGCGAUAAAUCAAUGUCCAAUGUUGAGCCAGCAUUCAAUAACAUAACAAAGAAAAUCAAGGAGCGCCUUGAUGGCAAAAUGAAUUGUAAUGUACAUUCAGAUUUAUUUGAAGUUAUAUAUGUCUAUAUAUUAGAGCAUGGAUAGUAAGAUCAGAUGCUCCAUCCUCAUAUUACCUGUCACACUUUCCUCUUGGCUGAAAGUGAAAAAAAAAAAGAGGGAAUUUCUUUUGACAGAUCAUCAUCACAAUCUCAUAUUAGGAACUGCAUUCCACCUUUAACAACAUGCUUUGGGACACACUUGAAAAUAUGCCCAUAACAUUACGCAAUUUUCUAUUACAGACUCAAAAAGGACAUUUUGAAAUAUAGACAUUUGACAUAUUCAAUCUAAGUGUUGUAACAUUGUAACAAGGCAUCCAAAAAUACAAAGGCAAGCACAUCAAAUUAUGUGAUCUGUAGCAAUAUUGAACUACUAUUUUC
rnacentral:lncRNA from 1 species